rnacentral:rRNA from 1 species
UACGUAGGGGGCAAGCGUUGUCCGGAAUCAUUGGGCGUAAAGCGCGUGUAGGCGGCCUUGUAAGUCCGUUCUGAAAGCCCGGGGCUCAACCCCCGGGAGGCGGAUGGAUACUGCAAGGCUCGAGUACGGAAGAGGCGAGUGGAAUUCCUGGUGUAGCGGUGAAAUGCGCAGAUAAUCAGGAAGAACACCGGUGGCGGAAGGCGGCCCUGCGUGGGCAGUUUUGCUGACACUGAGGCGCGACAGCGUGGGGAGCAAACAGG